GGAUCUGAAGGUGAUUUGCCUGCACUAUUUGCCACCUCUUUGAUCACCAGGGUUGAAACUGCUGAUCUGUUGCCUAGACCAGUGUUUCCUUCCUCCCUCAUCGUACCCCUCCGGAACCUGAGCGCUCAGUCAAGAGGACGGCCUUCCCUUACAGAAAAGAACCAGCCUUUUGUAAAGAAUAGAAGAGUAGCUGCACUCGCCUGCUAGAAAUUGUAGACAAUUUCUCAAGAUUUUUUUUUUUUUUUUUUUUUGAGACAGGAUCUCAUUCUCUCACCCAGAUUGGAGUGCAGUGGCCUGAUCU
rnacentral:snRNA from 1 species